UGGAGAGUUUAUCCCUGGCCUCAGGAUGAACGCUGGCGGCGUCCUAAUACAUGCAAGUCGAGCGAAGAGUAAAGCGUGCUUUAUGAAGUUAGCGCGGACGGGUGAGUAAACACGUGGGGAACCGCCCAUAGCUGAGAUAACUCCGGGAAAAACGGGCUAAUACCGGAUAACAUUUGAACCGCAUGGUUCGAAAUUUGAAAGGCGGGCUUCGGCUGUCACUUAUGAUGGACCCGCGUCGCAUUAGCUAGUUGGUGAGGUAACGGCUCACCAAUGCAACGAUGCCGUUAGCCGACCUGAGAGGCGUGAUCGGGCCACACUGGACUGAGGACACGGCCCGGACUCACGGGAGGCAGCAGUAGGAAAUCUUUCCGCAAUGGACGAAAGUCUGACGGAGAAAACGCGCGUUGAGUGAUGAAGGGCUUCGGGUCGUAAACUCUGUUGUUAGGGAAGAACAAGUGCUAGUUGAUAAAGCUAGCACCUUGACGGUACCUAAACCAGAAAGCCACGGCUAACUAGCGUGCCACAGCCGCGUAAUACAGUAGGUGGCAAGCGUUAUCGAAUUAUUGGGCGUAAAGCGCGCGCAGGUGGUUUCUUAAUGUUGAUGUGAAAGCCCACGCUCAACCGUGGAGAUCAUUGGAAACUGGGAGACUUGAGUGCAGAAGGAGGAAAGUGGAAAUUCCAUGUGUAGCGGUGAAUGCGUUAAGAUAUGGAGGAACACCAUUUGGCGGAAGGCGACUUUCUGGUCCUGUAACUAACAUGAAGGCGCGAAAGCGUGGAGCAAACAGGAUUAGAUACCCUGUAGUCCCACGCCGUAAACGAUGAGUGCAGUGUUAGAGGGUUUCGCCCUUAGUUGCUGAAGUUAACGCAUUAAGCACUUCCCGCCUGGGGAUACGGGCCCAAGGUGAAACUCAAAGGAAUUGACGCCGCCUCUCGGGGCCCGCACAAGCGGUGGAAGCAUGUGGUUAAUUUCGAAGCAACGCGAAGAAACCUUACCAGGUCUUGACAUCCUCUGAAAAACCUAGAGAUAGGGGCUUCUCCUUCGGGAGCAGAGUGACAGGUGGUGCAUGGUUGUCGUCAGCUCGUGUCGUGAGAUGUUGGGUAAGUCCCGCAACGAGCGCAACCCUUGAUCUUAGUGCCAUCAUUAAAGUUGGGCACUCUAAGGUGACUGCCGGGACAACCGGAGAGGUGGGGAUGACGUCAAAAUCUCAUGGCCCCUUUAUGACCUGGCUACACACGUGCUAAAUGGACCGGGACAAAGAGCUGCAAGACCGCGAGUGGAGCUAAUCUCAUAAAACCCGUUUCUCAGUCGGAUUGUAGCGCGGGCAACUCGCUACCAUGAAGCUUGGAAUCGCUAGUUAAUCGCGAUCCAGCAUGCCGCGGUGAAACGUUCCCGGGCCUUGUACACACCGCCCGUCACACCACGAAGUUUGUAACACCGAAAGUCGGUGGGGUAACCUUUUUGGAGGCCAGCCGGCCUAAGGUGGACAGAUUGAUUGGGGUGAAGUCGCUAACAAGGUAGCCGCUAUCGGAAGGGUGCGGCUGGAUCACCUCCUUUCU
rnacentral:rRNA from 1 species